UGUAUUUACAACAGUGUGGUAGUAAUUAGUUGACGACACAAUUGAGUCGCGAAGAGAAGUUGUGAUCAGAGGACUCACACUCUACCUUGGUGAAUACACUGGAGAGUUAAUGAAGGACUACCAGGUUAUUAAUGACGACGAUGCUGCGACCAUCCAAGAAGCUAUUACUACAUUUGCCCUCGGCAUCUUUGUUGUCAGCAAAGCCAGGGAUGGUCUCCCCAAGCAAACUGGAAUAGCCAUCGAGGGACCUUUUUGGUAUCCCAGAUGUGGCACAUGCUUGCACCUAUCUGAUGGGCCUUAUCUAUGCCUUGGAACUGAGGUACCCUAAUAAACUGAAAUACACGUUUGAGGUCUUUUAGAAGAUCUUCCUAGAGCUAGAGAAUGCAAACCAAAAACUGUCCUCCAAAGUCCAUGAUCUCAAGGUCUGUUUGCAAGCUUAAAAUCUAUACAGAUGGUGUAUACAGUAGAAUGUAUUUUGAUUUGUUUGUAAUAGAAUGUAUUUUGAUUUGUUUUUUUGGCUUUUGUCAAAUAAAUUUAUUUAUUUGAGCUAAAUGACUUCCAAGUCUUGUUUUGGGUUAAGAUGCAUAAUUAUAUCUGAGAUUGUUUGACUCAUGUGGGUUGCUAAGUUUCCAGUGUUGGGCUGCAACCAAUUAAUUAAUCUGUCGAUAGUCUUGAUAAAUUGAUUUGUGGAUUCGUCCAUACAAUGUAAGGAAAUGGUGAAAAAUCGAUCACUCUUUCCCAAAGCCCAAGCUGCAACCUAAAAUGUCUUGUUUUGUCCUGAUCACCAGUUCUCAAUUUAAAACAUUCACAUCAGAGAAUCUGGGAUUCUUCUUCUUAAAAAAAAUGACUCAAAGAAAAUUCUAAUUACUGACAAAUUAUUUAGUUGUUAGCAACUAAUUGAUCAAUCAACUAAUCGUUGCAGCUCCUGUCUUUUUAUCAGUAUGGUCUAUUUAUAUGGUCUAUACUUAAGUUUUUAAGUUUAGCUUUAAC